GGUGAGCUACCCCGAGACAGCCUAUGUUAAUUUAGGGCUAACCCGUCUCUGUGGCAAAAGAGUGGGAAGAGCUCCGGGUAGAAGUGACAGACCUACCGAACCUGGUGAUAGCUGGUUGCCUGAGAAAUGGAUAGAAGUUCAGCCUCGCACCCCCCAAACCAACAAAUAUAUCGUCAAGAUACCUAGGGCGACAUGCGAGAGUUAGUUAAAAGGGGUACAGCCCUUUUAACAAAGGAUACAACCUUCACAGGUGGAUAAAGAUCAUAAUAUAUAAGAUAUACUGUUCUAGUGGGCCUGAAAGCAGCCACCUAAACAGAAAGCGUUAAAGCUCGGACAGAAAGAAGUUUAUUAUACUGAUAAAACAUCUUAUUCCCCUAACUAUAUCAGACCAACCCAUGCCCACAUGGAAGAGAUUAUGCUAAAAUGAGUAAUAAGAAGACCUGCUCUUCUCCCGGCACAAGUGUAAACCAGAUCGGACUAACCACUGGCGCUUAACGAACCCAACCCAAGAGGGUAGUGUGACUAAUAGAAACCUCAAGAAGGCCUCACAUUAAUUAAUCGUUAACCCUACACUGGUGUGCUAUUUAAAGGGAAAGACUAAAAGAGGGGGAAGGAACUCGGCAAAUACAAGCCUCGCCUGUUUACCAAAAACAUCGCCUCCUGCAAUCAAAUUGAGUAUAGGAGGUCCAGCCUGCCCAGUGACUACGGGUUCAACGGCCGCGGUAUCUUGACCGUGCAAAGGUAGCGCAAUCACUUGUCUCUUAAAUAGAGACCUGUAUGAAUGGCUAGACGAGGGCUUAACUGUCUCCCCCCUUCAGUCAGUGAAAUUGAUCUAUCCGUGCAGAAGCGGGUAUAAAUGUACAAGACGAGAAGACCCUUUGGAGCUUAAGGUACAAGACUCAACCACGUUAAACAACCCCAUAAAACAUAGGAACUUAAUGGUAAUGAGAUUUUACCUUCGGUUGGGGCGACCGCGGAGGAAAAACAAGCCUCCGAGUGGACUGGGCCAAACCCCUAAAGCUAAGAGAGACAUCUAUAAGCCGCAGAAUAUCUGACCAAAAAUGAUCCGGCUGAGGGCCGAUCAACGAACCAAGUUACCCAAGGGAUAACAGCGCAAUCCCCUCCCAGAGCCCGUAUCGACGAGGGGGUUUACGACCUCGAUGUUGGAUCAGGACAUCCUAAUGGUGC
rnacentral:rRNA from 2 species